GUGAUGUGGAGAAGACAUCCUGUAAAUUUCAUAUAAAUCGGAUAAUGUUUGUCAUAUGAGGCUGACUUCCUGUGUCCAGUAGGUGGCGCUAGAGAUCACCCACCAAUUACAUGUCAUGUUGCAGUGUGUGAUGUGGAGAAGACAUCCUGUAAAUUUCAUAUAAAUCGGAUAAUGUUUGUCAUAUGAGGCUGACUUCCUGUGUCCAGUAGGUGGCGCUAGAGAUCACCCACCAAUUAUAUGUCAUGUUGCAGUGUGUGAUGUGGAGAACACAUCCUGUA